rnacentral:rRNA from 1 species
ACGGGAGGCAGCAGUGGGGGAUAUUGGGCAAUGGGCGAAAGCCUGACCCAGCAACGCCGCGUGAAGGAAGAAGGCUUUCGGGUUGUAACUUCUUUUAAGUGGGACGAUAAUGACGGUACCACUUGAAUAAGCUCCGGCUAACUACGUGCCAGCAGCCGCGGUCAUACGUAGGGAGCAAGCGUUAUCCGGAUUUACUGGGUGUAAAGGGCGUGUAGGCGGGACAGCAAGUCAGAUGUGAAAGCACGAGGCUCAACUUCGUGUCUGCAUUUGAAACUGCUGUUCUUGAGUGCUGGAGAGGCUAACGGAACUCCUAGUGUAGCGGUGAAAUGCGUAGAUAUUAGGAAGAACACCAGUGGCGAAGGCGGUUAGCUGGACAGUAACUGACGCUGAGGCGCGAAAGCGUGGGUAGCAAACAGGAUUAGAUACCCUGGUA